rnacentral:rRNA from 1 species
CAGCGAGGAAUAUUGCACAAUGGGCGAAAGCCUGAAGCACCCAUGCCGCGUGUGUGAAGAAGGCCUCCGGGUUGUAAAGCACUUUCAGUCAGGAGGAAAGGGUCUGAGUUAAUACCUCACACAUGUGACGUUACUGACAGAAGAAGCACCGCCUAACUCG